rnacentral:tRNA from 1 species
ACCGCUCAAUCGGCAGAGCGGGUGGCUGUUAACCACUAGGUUGCAAGUUCAAGUCUUGCUCGGGGAGCCA